rnacentral:tRNA from 1 species
GGUGAAGUGGCUGAGUUAGGCGAUAAACUGUAAAUUUAUUUACGAAGUAAUUUAUUUCCUUCACCA